GAAACUCAAAUGAAUUGACGGGGCCCGCACGAAGCGGUGGAGCAUGUGGUUUAAUUCGAUGCAACGCGAAGAACCUUACCUGGGCUUGACAUCCCUGGAAUCCCCUGGAAACGAGGGGAGUGCCCUUCGGGGAGCCAGGAGACAGGUGCUGCAUGGCUGUCGUCAGCUCGUGUCGUGAGAUGUUGGGUUAAGUCCCGCAACGAGCGCAACCCUUGUCAUUAGUUGCUACAUUCAGUUGGGCACUCUAAUGAGACUGCCGGUGACAAGCCGGAGGAAGGUGGGGAUGACGUCAAGUCCUCAUGGCCCUUAUAGGUGGGGCUACACACGUCAUACAAUGGCUGGUACAAAGGGUUGCCAACCCGCGAGGGGGAGCCAAUCCCAUAAAGCCAGUCGUAGUCCGGAUCGUAGUCUGCAACUCGACUACGUGAAGUCGGAAUCGCUAGUAAUCGUGGAUCAGAAUGUCACGGUGAAUACGUUCCCGGGUCUU
rnacentral:rRNA from 1 species